UUAUCGGAAUGAGAACAAUUCAAAUCCUUUAACGAGGAUCUAGCGGAGGGCAAGUCUGGUGCCAGCAGCCGCGGUAAUUCCAGCUCCGCAGGUGUAUAUCUAUGCUGCUGCGGUUAAAAAGCUCGUAGUUGGAUCUGCGUGCUCGGAACUGGUUGGCUCACUGAGUUCAAACUGGUCUCCGGCGCUUUAUUGGCUGGUUUUCCCUUGAUGCUCUUAACCGGGUGUCUUGGGUGGCUAGCACGUUUACUUUGAAAAAAUUAGAGUGCUCAAUACAGGCGUAAAGCCUUGAAUAGUGGUGCAUGGAAUAAUAGAAUAGGACCUCGGCUCUAUUUUGUUGGUUUUCGGAACGCGAGGUAAUGAUUAAGAGGGACAGACGGGGGCAUUCGUAUUGCGACGUUAGAGGUGAAAUUCUUGGAUCGUCGCAAGACGGACGACUGCGAAAGCAUUUGCCAAGAAUGUUUUCAUUAAUCAAGAACGAAAGUUAGAGGUUCGAAGGCGAUCAGAUACCGCCCUAGCUCUAACCGUAAACGAUGCCAACUAGCGAUUCGCAGGCGUUAAACAACGACCUUGCGGGCAGCUUCCCGGAAACGAAAGUGUUCGGGUUCCGGGGGAAGUAUGGUUGCAAAGCUGAAACUUAAAGGAAUUGACGGAAGGGCACCACCAGGAGUGGAGCCUGCGGCUUAAUUUGACCCAACACGGGAAAACUCACCCGGCCCGGACACCGUAAGGAUUGACAGAUUGAGAGCUCUUUCUUGAUUCGGUGGGUGGUGGUGCAUGGCCGUUCUUAGUUGGUGGAGCGAUUUGUCUGGUUUAUUCCGAUAACGAACGAGACUCUGGCCUACUAAAUAGUGGGCGGAUUCUUUCUGUCCGCAACACUUCUUAGAGGGACAAGCGGUGUUCAGCCGCACGAGAUUGAGCAAUAACAGGUCUGUGAUGCCUUUAGAUGUCCGGGGCUGCACGCGCGCUACACUGAAGGAAUCAGCGUGCUUUCUGACCUUCCCGAAAGGGCUGGGUAACCCGAUGAAAAUCCUUCGUGAUUGGGAUAGGGACUUGCAAUUAUUUCCCUUGAACGAGGAAUUCCCAGUAAGUGUGGGUCAUAAGCUCGCGUUGAUUACGUCCCUGCCCUUUGUACACACCGCCCGUCGCUGCCCGGAACUGAGCCGUUUCGAGAAGAACAGGGACCGUCGUUGAAGGGCCUUAACGGGCUUUUCUCUGAUAGAAACUGUU
rnacentral:rRNA from 1 species